rnacentral:misc_RNA from 1 species
UACGUAGGGUGCAAGCGUUGUCCGGAUUUACUGGGUUUAAAGGGUGCGCAGGCGGAUCUUUAAGUCAGUGGUUAAAGCACACAGCUUAACUGUGGGAAUGCCAUUGAUACUGAAGGUCUUGAGUACAGAUGAGGUAGGCGGAAUUCAUGGUGUAGCGGUGAAAUGCAUAGAUACCAUGAGGAACUCCAAUUGCGAAGGCAGCUUACUGGACUGUAACUGACGCUGAGGCACGAAAGCGUGGGGAGCGAACAGG